rnacentral:rRNA from 1 species
UACGUAGGGGGCUAGCGUUGUCCGGAAUCAUUGGGCGUAAAGCGCGCGUAGGCGGCCAGAUAAGUCCGGUGUGAAAGUCACAGGCUCAACCUGUGAAUGCCGCUGGAAACUGUCUGGCUUGAGUCCGGAAGGGGCGAGUGGAAUUCCUGGUGUAGCGGUGAAAUGCGCAGAUAUCAGGAAGAACACCAACGGCGAAGGCAGCUCGCUGGGACGGUACUGACGCUGAGACGCGAAAGCGUGGGGAGCGAACAGG